rnacentral:rRNA from 1 species
CCUACGGGAGGCUGCAGUGAGGAAUAUUGGUCAAUGGGCGCGAGCCUGAACCAGCCAAGUCGCGUGCGGGAAGACGGUCCUAUGGAUUGUAACCCUCUUUUGUCGGGGAGCAAAAGGCGCCACGCGUGGCGUUCCGCGCCUACCCUACGAAAAAGCACCGGCUAACUCCGUGCCAGCGGCCGCGGUAAUACGGGGGAUGCGAGGGUUAUCCGGAUUUAUUGGGGUAAAGGGGGUCGCGGGGGGAAGAUCACGUCAGCGGUAAAAUUGAGGGGCUCAACCUCUUCGAGCCGGUGAAACUGGUGGUCUUGAGUGAGCGAGAAGUAAGCGGAAUGCGUGGUGUAGCGGUGAAAUGCAUAGAUAUCACGCAGAACACCGGUGGCGAAGG